UUCACCCACUCACCCUUGCUGCCUGUGUGUGUCUCUGCCUCUGUUGGUGGUGCUGGGAUCCAAAGGACCAGGACAGGACCAGGACAGGACCAGGACGCACAUCCUCUGACAGCACAGACAUGUCGGACUCAGAGACCGCUGCCGCCCCCGCCGCCGCCGAGACCCCCGUCCCUGCCGCGUGUGCAGACAUCAAGGCUGCACUGGACAAAUGUGUUGCAGAGAAGGGGGCGGAGGCCUGCCAAGACCUGAUGAAGGAGUUUGCCGCUUGCGUGAAGAACGCCACAGAGGGGACGUCCUGAGGCGGAGACUCUUCUCUCCCCCAUGUCCACUGCACUGAGACCUCCAAGUUUCCCAGCAUUCUCCUCUGCACAGCAGCGUGGACUGAACAACAACAACAACGAUGACGACGAUGGUGUGAUUCAGCUCAUGCUGAGUCGGGGUCUGCUGGCAGUUUCCUGUUCCUGUUUUAGAGCCUCGGUCUUCCCGCCAUUCCCCUUCUCCUCCGUGUGGUCAACAGCUCGUCGACUUGUAGACAAUUCCAGAGAGCCGGCGGGCCGAGACGUACAGCUGUCAACUUGAAAACUUACAUGGAAAUAAAGUUUAAAUGAAUUCAUGUGGAAA